UACGUAGGUGACAAGCGUUGUCCGGAUUUACUGGGCGUAAAGAGCGCGCAGGCGGUCGUUCAAGUCGAGUGUGAAAGCCCCCGGCUCAACUGGGGAGGGUCAUCCGAUACUGAUCGACUUGAAGGCAGGAGAGGGAAGCGGAAUUCCCGGUGUAGUGGUGAAAUGCGUAGAUAUCGGGAGGAACACCAGUGGCGAAGGCGGCUUCCUGGCCUGUUCUUGACGCUGAGGCGCGAAAGCUAGGGGAGCAAACGGG
rnacentral:rRNA from 1 species